rnacentral:lncRNA from 1 species
AAUAAAAUCCAAUCAAAUCGAAUCAACCUGUUUUAGUAUUAGAUGUUAGAGAUUUCAAUAAUAAUAAUAAUUAUUAUUAUUAAUAUAUAUAUAUAUAUAUAUUAAUAUAUAAUAUUUAUGAAUAUAUAAAUAUAUAAAUAUAUAUGACCUAGUGCUGGUGCCAUCCGCAGCAUGCAUGCGGCAAUAUGUAUUGAAAGGUUGGAUUUAAUUCAACCUUGUACCUUUUGGUUGAAUUACAACUUUUGGUUAAAAGAUAUGAUGUUUACUCAAAUUGUAUGAGUAGAAUUAAAGGAUAUAAUUAGUCAAUAUUUAUUUUCUGAAAAUUCUAAAUAAAACAUAUGUCUUUUGGGUCAACACUAUUAAGAAGAGUUGUGUGUCUUCAACUAAAAUGAAAUGGCUCGAUGAACGGGUACUUUGAUGUCUAUAAAUACAUGUUGUGGUAUAAUGUUUCAUACACAAUUCAUUCAGAAAUUUGUUGUCUACAUAAUUUCUUUGCUCUCUUUUCUCUACGCAUCACAUUCAUACAAUUUCUUUCUAGUUAUUUCUAAGGGAAUAUAAUUCGGUUUUGCUAAUCGAAUAUUCCAUACUUUGUUGUAUCCUGGAAGUGAUUUGCCAAGAACCCUUUAGCAAACUCAUUCGAGUGGGGGCAAAUAACACUUUAAGGAAACGAUUCAAAUCGUACCUCAAAGUCAUUAUUCGGAUUAUUCUCCAUAAAUCUACAUUUAAUCUAACAAUCUUAAAGUGUUAUUUUCGUUAUGGAUAACAAAUCUGAUAACAUGGCUUUGAAGAUUAUCAAUCAAGAUGUCUACAAGUUAGACAAAUUUGAUGGAUCAAAUUUCACCCGAUGGAAGGACAAGAUGCGUUUCAUGCUUACUGUUCUAAAUGUCAUAUAUGUGUUGGACCCGAAAUUGGAGCUUAUUUGUGAACCAAGUGACAAAGACUCAGACAAUAUAGUUGCCGAUCGAAAGAAGCGUGAAGAAGAUGAAUUGGUAUGUCGAGGACACAUCUUGGGCACAUUAUCUGAUCGUUAUAUGACCUGUAUGCACACAUUCAAUCUCCAAAGGAAAUUUGGGAAGCACUUGAACACAAGUACACAACGGAAAAAAAGAGGUACAGAUAAAUUUUUAAUGUUCAAAUAUUAUGAAUUCACUAUGUUUGAUAACAAACUCAUCCUAGACCAGGUUCAUGAAUUAGUGGUCUUGGUCUCAAAGCUUCGUGAACUUAAAAUAGUUAUUCCGGAUCCUAUGAUAGUUGGAGUUAUUAUGGCAAAAUUACCCCAAACAUGGAAUAACUAUAGAAAGAAACUUCUACACAUGGUGGAAGAUAUUAGUUUGGAGAAUUUGCAAAAGAGUAUUCAAAUUGAAGAGGAAACUCGAAAUCGUGAUAAGAAUUUUGCCAAUCAAGAUUUCUCUAAAGUUCACAUUGUCGAAGGAAACACAUAUAAAAAGAACUUCAAAGUCAAAAUUGACAAAGGGAAGUUUAAGAAGACCAAUUCCAACAACAAUCAAAAGAAUGAAAAUGGUGUAUGUUACCAUUGUGGAAAGUAAGGUCAUUACAUUCGUGAUUGUAGACACAGAAAAGCAAGUGAGGAAUAUGCCAAUAAGACCAAUAGCGCAAAUAUGGUGGAUUUUUACAAUUGCCGGAGGAGCAAUUUCUUGGGCUUCGAAGAAGCAAACAUGUAUAGCACAUUCAACUAUGGAAUCUGAAUUUAUAGCAUUAGCAGCAGGUAAAGAAGCGGAAUGGAUUAGAAAUUUGUUAUUGGAAAUAGAGUUGUGGCCACAACCAAUGCCAUCCAUUUCUUUAUACUAUGAUAGUGAGGCUACUUUGUCUAGAGCAUACAAUAAGGUAUACAAUGGAAAAUCUAGACAUAUUAGCUUGAGACAUGAAUAUGUCAAGCAAUUAAUAACUGAUGGAGUUAUUAAUAUUGUUUAUGUUAAAUCAAGUAAUAACUUGGCGGAUCCGUUAACGAAAGCACUUUCAAGAGCUUUGGUAGUUAGUACAUCUAGUGGAAUGGGGCUAAAACCCUUUACUGAAAAUUAGCCACCAAUAAUGGUAACCCGACUUUAUCUAGAACAUCACUAGUUUAAAAGUUUAAUGGGUAAUAACAAGUUAUUGUUAAGUGGUUGUGCAAGCACUGAAAAUUAUUAUAUAGCUCAUUCCAGGAUGAUCAGUGCAAGACUGCUACGUUUAGGAGGAUGAGUUUUAACUCUUAAUGAGGUUAUUUGUAGUUAUGUCUAUAGUAGCAGGGACAUGGGAAGGAACCUCACCUAUAUAAACAUAAGAAGUGGUGCCGCUUCUGCCAAGAGUUGGGUUUUCUCUUGUAAAUGUUCAUGAAACCAGGAUGAAGCACAAGGCCAUAAUAGUGCUUAAUUAGUUCAGAAAUUUCUUUAAGGAAAUAAGACAUAAUCAUGUGUGUAGUAAUUCCGGUUUUAACAUAAGAAUAGGUGGUUUAAACUUAGGUCACCAUCGCAUUCGUUAUAACUUUGAAUCACUUACACUAAUUAAAGGUUUAAUUCGAAAGACACCUUUAUUGUAUGCAUGAUUAUAUCGGUAUGCUUUUGAUAAUUAUAAAGAGAGAAUUAUUGUAAUAUCAUUUACCAUAUUAUUGAAAUUGGGAAGGAUUGUUAGAGAUUUCAAUAAUAAUAAUAAUAAUUAUUAUUAUUAAUAUAUAUAUAUAUAUAUAUAUUAAUAUAUAAUAUUUAUGAAUAUAUAAAUAUAUAAAUAUAUAUGACCUAGUGCUGGUGCCAUCCGCAGCAUGCAUGCGGCAAUAUGUAUUGAAAGGUUGGAUUUAAUUCAACCUUGUACCUUUUGGUUGAAUUACAACUUUUGGUUAAAAGAUAUGAUGUUUACUCAAAUUGUAUGAGUAGAAUUAAAGGAUAUAAUUAGUCAAUAUUUAUUUUCUGAAAAUUCUAAAUAAAACAUAUGUCUUUUGGGUCAAC